rnacentral:sRNA from 1 species
UAUAGGUGAGAUCAAGGCAAUACCUGAAU